CUUGCUUCAAGGUGGCUCCUAGGCAGCUGGGCGGCUUGGGUUCUUGGAGAGGAAGGGGAGGAGAGCUGGUAGCAAGCCUGAAUGGUCCCCUUUGCUAAGCAGGAUCCAUCCUGGUUUACAUGGGAAGGGGAGACUACAUCAUGUGAGCCCUCUUCCAGGGUGUGUGGCGCCAUGGAUACAAAGAGCCAAGCUGACCAAGGAAAGAAGCUACUAGCCAGAGCAGCCAGGGACUGUGGGAGCGACGGAGGAACAGCAGCAUCCCGCUGAGAAUGCAAAGCAUUGACGAGCUUCCUGUAUUCCUCGGUAACCGCUGGAAAAGUUAUAUCUGGGAAAUAGCUACAGCGAGAAAGAAGGUAAGCAGCUUCUUCUUCUUCUUCUUCUUCUUCUUCUUCUUCUUCUUCUUCUUCUUCUUCUUCUCCUCCUCCUCCUCCUCCUCCUCCUCCUCCUCCUCCUCCUCCUCCUCUUCCUCUUCCUCUUCCUCUUCCUCUUCCUCCUCCUCCUCCUCCUCCAUAAGCUUAUAUACAGCCUUGGGUUUAUUCCCUCUUUUUGACAGUUAAAGCACCACAUUUUCAUUGAUGCCAGGAGAUGUUGAACAGUAGGGCACACAUCUUGGGGUGCCUCUGUUAUGGCACAAGAGAUAUUCCCAGACUGAUUGGGCAAGGUUCGGACCACAAUGUGUGUCUGGACACUUAAAUUUGCAUUCUGAUUGGGCAAGACCUCUAGGGUUUUUAAAUUCUGUCCUGACUGAAUUGGGCAAGACCUCUAGGGUUUUUAAAUUGUAUAUGGAAUUGGGCAAGAUCAAGGCCUGUGUGGGCCUCGAUUUUUAAAUUGCAUCCCCCAGCUUGACAUUGACAUUUGUAUUCUGAUUGGACAAGACCUCUAGGGUUUUUAAAUUCUGUAAGGAAUUGGGCAAGAUCAGGGCCUGUGUGGGCCUCGAUUUUUAAAUUGCAUCCCCCAGCUUGACUGAGCACACAAUCUCUAGGUUCCCUUAGAGUGAAUUGGGCAUGAUACCAUUUUUUUAAAAAAAAUACCAUUGUCUGGGCAGCUUUAGGCCAGUGGACUGGAGUCCCAUGAGCUUGGAAUCUCCAAUGGCUCAACUGGGCAAGACGAUUGGUGUCUUUAAAUUCUGUCAGGGCCUUGUGGACAUAUUUUUUUAGCCAGGGGUGUAGUGUUAAAUUUGGAUCGACUGACCACCCACUUUGAUUCAUGCUCUUGAUCAAGACUGAAUCAAAUGCAUCACGUUGCGUGUUUUAUAUGCGCUGUGUCCCAAGUGUUUGGUGACCCAUGAAGAGAUGACUUCUUGUUUAGUGCACUCAUGGCCAUCUCGGAUCCUUAUUCCUUACUCAAGGAAAAAAGCAUUGAUUUUGAAUGCUGGGCUCAAGGUUUUGAUGUUUUUCAUGUCUAUUGAUAAAAUGGUAGAAAUCAUUUCACAUGCAAAUGUUUAAAUUGAUUAUGUCAUGCAAGGGUUUUGAGAACUGUCUUGACUAAAGAAAUAGUCUGAUUGCCUUGUCAGCAAGAAAGGUUCUUGCAGCCUAGGUGCAAAUCCUGCUAUC